rnacentral:rRNA from 1 species
AACGAACGCUGGCGGCAUGCCUAACACAUGCAAGUCGAACGAGACCUUCGGGUCUAGUGGCGCACGGGUGCGUAACGCGUGGGAACCUGCCCUUAGGUUCGGAAUAACUCCCCGAAAGGGGUGCUAAUACCGGAUAAUGUCUUCGGACCAAAGAUUUAUCGCCUUUGGAUGGGCCCGCGUUGGAUUAGCUAGUUGGUAGGGUAAAAGCCUACCAAGGCGACGAUCCAUAGCUGGUCUGAGAGGAUGAUCAGCCACACUGGGACUGAGACACGGCCCAGACUCCUACGGGAGGCAGCAGUGGGGAAUAUUGGACACGGGGCGAAAGCCUGAUCCAGCAAUGCCGCGUGAGUGAUGAAGGCCUUAGGGUUGUAAAGCUCUUUUACCCGGGAUGAUAAUGACAGUACCGGGAGAAUAAGCUCCGGCUAACUCCGUG